ACCUUUUCAUUUAGAAGAAGAAGAAGUCGUAACAAGGUUUCCGUAGGUGAACCUGCAGAAGGAUCAUUG
rnacentral:ncRNA from 1 species